UGGGGAAUAUUGGACAAUGGGCGCAAGCCUGAUCCAGCAAUGCCGCGUGAGUGAUGAAGGCCUUAGGGUUGUAAAGCUCUUUUACCCGGGAAGAUAAUGACUGUACCGGGAGAAUAAGCCCCGGCUAACUCCGUGCCAGCAGCCGCGGUAAUACGGAGGGGGCUAGCGUUGUUCGGAAUUACUGGGCGUAAAGCGCACGUAGGCGGCUUGGUAAGUUAGGGGUGAAAGCCUGGAGCUCAACUCCAGAAUUGCCUUUAAGACUGCCGAGCUAGCAGGUGAGAGAGGUGAGUGGAAUUCCGAGUGUAGAGGUGAAAUUCGUAGAUAUUCGGAAGAACACCAGUGGCGAAGGCGGCUCACUGGCUCAUACUGGACGCUGAGGUGCGAAAGCGUGGGGAGCAAACAG
rnacentral:rRNA from 1 species